CCCUUAGAUGUUCUGGGCUGCACGCGCGCUACACUGAUGCAUUCAACGAGUGUUUAUCCUUGCCCGAUAGGGUUGGGUAAUCUUGUUAACGUGCAUCGUGAUGGGGAUAGACUCUUGCAAUUAUUAGUCUUGAACGAGGAAUUCCUAGUAAAUGCGAGUCAUCAGCUCGUAUUGAUUACGUCCCUGCCCUUUGUACACACCGCCCGUCGCUCCUACCGAUUGAGUGCUCCGGUGAAUAAUUCGGACUACCGCAGUCGGGAGCUCUUCUUGAUCGCGGUGGAAAGUUUAGUGAACCUUAUCACUUAGAGGAAGGAGAAGUCGUAACA
rnacentral:rRNA from 1 species